UACGUAGGGUGCGAGCGUUGUCCGGAAUUAUUGGGCGUAAAGGGCUCGUAGGCGGUCUGUUGCGUCGGGAGUGAAAAUUCACAGCUUAACUGUGAACUUGCUUCCGAUACGGGCAGACUUGAGGUAUUCAGGGGAGAACGGAAUUCCUGGUGUAGCGGUGAAAUGCGCAGAUAUCAGGAAGAACACCCGUGGCGAAGGCGGCUCUCUGGUACGUGACUGACGCUGAGACGCGAAAGCGUGGGGAGCGAACAGG
rnacentral:rRNA from 1 species